UUACUUUCAACGUACUUCUUGCAUCAUUCGGUUAGUUUGAAUGAAGAGGAUGAUAAUGGUGGUAUUUGUGUUUUUCUUGUUAAAAUUUAGUGACAGUCAAGAAUUACGGACUUAAAUGAAAUAAAUAAAACGAACGUGCUUUCGUACAAUUUCAUCACACCGUGUUUGUGACCUUUGCAUCGAGUAUACGUUAUAUGCUCCUUAAGUUUCACGAGCGGUACUGAGACAAGUAUUCCAAUAGAUAAUUCGACGUCGAAUAAAAUCCUUAAAUGAUCGCCGUGCCGACCGACAAGAAGGAGGAGGCCUUCGACGAAUCUUGGUGCUGGCUGGAGAGGCGAUCGUACAUGUUCUUAGAGCGUAAGGAGCGAUUGUUGUCGGCAAUGGGCCGUUGUCGCAAUGGGAAGUCUCCUCUUGCAACCGGCACUAAAUCGUUUCGCUUCGGCACGUAGCAAGAGUCAGAAGCGGUCCCAGUCGAGCGUUUCGCCGGAACCUAUCUCAUUUCUCGAUCGUACGAUCGCACCAAAAGACGGAUAUCUUUAAUUUCUAAUAACGAAUCUUCGAGGGAAUCCAAGAGAUAUAAAUAUCGGAUAAGAAUGAAACGACGACGAGAAGAAAAGAAAGAAAAAUAAGGAACUCCGCCGUGCCGCUUGACGAGAAUCAUUUGAAAUUCCCGCUCUACGUUUCGAUUGGUCCCCAGGAACGAGAAGCUGUAUAUCGACCUUCGGCCCUUUUCGAUUGUGACGUAGCGACGACAGCGCCGGUCGGUAAAGUUGCACCAUAACGAUAACUCGCAACCGACUUUCAUCGAUGUUUUUCGGUCGAUACGGCCGGUCUCUUGAUCGGAGUCUCCAGGAUUGGCCACCGUCGUGGCGUCGGUAGCGCCAACGACGAGAUCCGACGCAGCGCGCGCGCUCGGUACCUUGCCCGUCGACCGGCCUUGCAAGGCUGCAGGCCAUCGAACUCUUGCCCUACUGCCGCGCCACGUAAUACCACCCGUACGCGAUGCGCAAGAACGAGGAUAACCGACACGACUCGCGCGCCCCUUCCUCGUUGUUCGCUCGCUCAUUCUCGCUCGUUCGUUCGUUCGUUCGUUCGUUCGUUCGUUCGUUCGUUCGUUCGCUAGCUCGCAUAAAGGGGGGAAAAAAAGGAGGGAGCGGCUUGAACACGAUACAGGAACGAAAGCCCAGGGCCGUACGCGUUGUCUUCUACCUUCUCCUCUCCUCGAUUUUACGAUCGGAUCGAUCUCCUCCACCCUUUCUUCCUCUCUGAUAUUUCCCA